rnacentral:lncRNA from 1 species
GGCCAGCAGGGGCUGGUGGGGACGACUGGAAUGCGGGAGCGGAGAGCGGGCAGGAAGGGGCUGCCAGGGCCGGGCGGCCAGGCACUUGGAUGACGAACUUGGCUGGGUCUUCGGAACACAGGGAAAGGAAGCCUCGAACAUUCCUUUGGGGGCCCCUCUGGCCCAGGGAGCAGCGGCUUGUGGUUUCUCAGUAUGUGGCAGUGAUUAGGGCUGGAUCUGUCCGGAAACAUCCAACUCCCUUAAUGAGCGUGUGGAAAGGGACCCACUGGGCUUCAGGAGCGGAGGCAGGGCCCCCGCAGCAUAUCCCAAGGCGCCAGGGCCGAGUCCCCGGUGGAAUGGUGCUGGUUCCAAUGCCAGCCUCCUGGAGACCUUCCUGCGCGGCCCCAGGGGGACCCUGAGGAGCCACAUGCACUGUCCCUGUCCCACCAGGUGCUGGAGGAGCUGGCGUCAUCCCUGGUGUCGGAGGUGGUGGUAUUCCUGGCGGGGCUGGUGCGAUUCCUGGGAUUGGAGGCAUUGCAGGUACUGUCAGGUCCAGCAGGGCUGCAGGUGGCCUUGAGCGACCACAGGCAAAGGACCUCACCCUCUGUGGCUGUCCUUCCAGGGGCCGGGACUCCUGCGGCUGCUGCUGCUGCUGCAAAAGCAGCUGCCAAGGCUGCAAAGUACGGAGCUGCUGGGGGCUUAGUGCCUGGUGGGCCAGGAGUUAGGGUCCCAGGUGUUGGGAUCCCAGGUGUCGGCGGAGUCCCAGGUGUUGGAGUCCCAGGUGUUGGAGUCCCAGGCAUUGGGGUCCCAGGUGUUGGGGUCCCAGGCGUUGGGGGUCCAGGCAUCGGGGGUGUACCAGGUAAGCUGGACUUGCUCCUUGUGUAUGCAUGUGCGUGUGUGUGAGAGAGAAAUAGACUAUUGCUGAGAUUCUGGGGUCCUCCCCAAGACCUCACUCAUCUGUCCACCCCCUCAGCUCUGCCUCACCCCUUCAUCCUCCCUCCCUCCCUCCCUCCACUAUAACAACCUCCCACCUAGCUGCCACCAGCACCA